rnacentral:rRNA from 1 species
AUUGAACGCUGGCGGCAUGCCUUACACAUGCAAGUCGAACGGCAGCACGGGUGCUUGCACCUGGUGGCGAGUGGCGAACGGGUGAGUAAUACAUCGGAACGUACCUUAUCGUGGGGGAUAACGCAGCGAAAGUUGCGCUAAUACCGCAUACGCCCUGAGGGGGAAAGCGGGGGACCGUAAGGCCUCGCGCGAUUAGAGCGGCCGAUGUCUGAUUAGCUUGUUGGUGAGGUAAAAGCUCACCAAGGCGAUGAUCAGUAGCUGGUCUGAGAGGACGAUCAGGCACACUGGGACUGAGACACGGCCCAGACUCCUACGGGAGGCAGAAGUGGGGAAUGUUGGACAAUGGGGGCAACCCUGAUCCAGCAAUGCCGCGUGGGUGAAGAAGGCCUUCGGGUUGUAAAGCUCUUUUGUCAGGGAAGAAACAGCAGCUCUAACACAGUCUGCGAAUGACGGUACCUGAAGAAUAAGCACCGGCUAACUACGUGCCAGCCGCCGCGGUAA